rnacentral:misc_RNA from 1 species
AAGUCGAUGACGCUUGACCGCGCACGGGACGUCAAGAUGGAGCUUGUCACCAAGAGUGGCAAGACGAUCGUGCUGAAGCCAAAGGUAUCGCUCCAGGAUGGUGAAGUCAUCGACUCCAUGUUCAUGAGCAAGAAGGCUCUGCUGGCAUUCUAUGAGCAGCAGAUCGAGGACGCUUACAAGACCGGUGUGAUGUUCUCGCUGCACGUCA